rnacentral:rRNA from 1 species
UACGGGGGGGGCAAGCGUUGUUCGGAAUACUGGGCGUAAAGGGCUCGUAGGUGGCCAACUAAGUCGGAUGUGAAAUCCCCAAGCUUAACUGGGGAACUGCGUCUGAUACUGGAUGGCUUGGAUUCGGGAGAGGAAUGCGGAAUUCCAGGUGUAGCGGUGAAAUGCGUAGAUAUCUGGAGGAACACCGGUGGCGAAGGCGGCAUUCUGGACCGAUAUUGACGCUGAGGAGCGAAAGCCAGGGGAGCAAACGGG